AUUGAACGCUGGCGGAAUGCUUUACACAUGCAAGUCGAACGGCAGCACGGACUUCGGUCUGGUGGCGAGUGGCGAACGGGUGAGUAAUGUAUCGGAACGUGCCCAGUCGUGGGGGAUAACGUAGUGAAAAUUACGCUAAUACCGCAUACGAUCUAUGGAUGAAAGCGGGGGAUCGCAAGACCUCGCGCGAUUGGAGCGGCCGAUAUCAGAUUAGGUAGUUGGUGGGGUAAAGGCCCACCAAGCCAACGAUCUAUAGCUGGUCUGAGAGGACGACCAGCCACACUGGAACUGAGACGCGGUCCAGACGCCUACGGGAGGCAGCAGUGGGGGAAUAUUGGACAAUGGGCGAAAGCCUAAUCCAGCAAUGCCGCGUGCAGGAUGAAGGCCCUCGGGUUGUAAACUGCUUUUGUACAGAACGAAAAGGUUUCUACUAAUACUAGGAGCUCAUGACGGUACUGUAAGAAUAAGCACCGGCUAACUACGUGCCAGCCGCCGCGGUAA
rnacentral:rRNA from 1 species